GUCAUUUUGGUUAAUGGUUGCUUGCCUUGCAUUUGAGCUUGGUUUGUGGCUGUUAGUCGGGUGGUCUCGGGGAUGUCUACCGUAAAGGUGCAUGAGUGGUGUUUGGUUUGUUACGGGUGGUUGGCUCUUUGCUUGCGCAACAACUUCCACCUGGCAUACCUCUUCAUUUUCGUGUCAAUGCUUGUAUCGCAUUGAACGCAUCGCGGGUUUCUUGUGUUGCAUGCCUAACUGAUGGUAUCGUUUCAUGAAUUGAUGUCUGUUUUCGUCUUGUGUCGCACACACGAUACGAGAUGAACCUUGAAGCAACCUUUGUGAUCCACUCCUUUGAUGCACAAACAUUGAUUUUGUGGCUCACUAAGUGUUGCUUGGUCUCAUUGAUAUGGAACCUUGUGUGGGCAUGGGAUCUUUUAGUAGCUCCUUGUUUGCCCUAGUUAAGCUUUUCAAAUACGAUUUCCUACCAUGUCUUAACGUGGU
rnacentral:misc_RNA from 1 species